UACGGGGGGGGCAAGCGUUGUUCGGAAUUACUGGGCGUAAAGGGUUCGUAGGUGGCCGACUAAGUCAGACGUGAAAUCCCUCAGCUUAACUGGGGAACUGCGUCUGAUACUGGUUGGCUUGAGGACAGGAGAGGAACGCGGAAUUCCAGGUGUAGCGGUGAAAUGCGUAGAUAUCUGGAGGAACACCGAUGGCGAAGGCAGCCCCCUGGGCCAACACUGACGCUCAGGCACGAAAGCGUGGGGAGCAAACAGG
rnacentral:rRNA from 1 species